UACAGAGGGUGCAAGCGUUGUCCGGAAUUAUUGGGCGUAAAGGGCUCGUAGGCGGUUCGUCACGUCGGGAGUGAAAACUCGGGGCUUAACCCCGAGCCUGCUUCCGAUACGGGCAGACUAGAGGUAGGCAGGGGAGAGCGGAACUCCUGGUGUAGCGGUGGAAUGCGCAGAUAUCAGGAAGAACACCGGUGGCGAAGGCGGCUCUCUGGGCCUUACCUGACGCUGAGGAGCGAAAGCGUGGGUAGCGAACAGG
rnacentral:rRNA from 1 species